GACGAACGCUGGCGGCGUGCCUAACACAUGCAAGUCGAACGGUAAGGCUCUGCUUUUGCGGGGUGCUCGAGAGGCGAACAGGUGAGUAUCACGUGUGUAACCUGCCCUUGACUUUGGGAUAACUUCAGGGAACUGGGGCUAAUACCGGAUAUGAGCACCUGCUGCAUGGUGGGGGUUGGAAAGUUUCGCCGGUUCGGCAUGGACGCGUGGUAUAUCAGCAUGUUGGUGAGGUAGUGGCGUACCAAGGCUUGGACGGGUAGCCGGCUUGCGAGGGUGACAGGCCCCAAUGGGACUGGGAUGCCGGCCGUAGGGCUACGGGGGGCAGGGGUGGGAGUUAGUGCGAGCUGGGCGGCGUGAGUAUGCAGCAUCGCCGCGUGGGAGAUGACGGUCGUCGGGGUGGAACGCGCGUGCGCCUGGGACGAAGAGUAAGUGACGGUAAUGAGUAAGGAAGCACCGGCUAACUACGUG
rnacentral:rRNA from 1 species